UACGGGGGGGGCAAGCGUUGUUCGGAAUUACUGGGCGUAAAGGGCUCGUAGGUGGCCAACUAAGUCAUACGUGAAAUCCCUCAGCUUAACUGGGGAACUGCGCCUGAUACUGGUUGGCUUGAGUUUGGGAGAGGGACGCGGAAUUCCAGGUGUAGCGGUGAAAUGCGUAGAUAUCUGGAGGAACACCGGUGGCGAAGGCGGCGUCCUGGACCAAUACUGACACUGAGGAGCGAAAGCCAGGGGAGCAAACGGGG
rnacentral:rRNA from 1 species